rnacentral:lncRNA from 1 species
GCGUGAAACGAAAGAAGCCCUUUAUUGGAGUGGAUCAAACAACCAAAAGAGAGAGAAUGUAGGUUCUAUGAGAAGAAGAAGAAGAAAGAAGAAUCAUCUAAAAAUCUUUGGGUGUGGAGGAGCUACUGCGAGGCCAUUUGAUCCUCGCAAUCGAUCAUCCGCUGUAAGGAUCCUGCUGCAAGAGGCGCCGAUUGGCGGAAUCCAUGCUGCGCGCCAGAUUAUCCAUGACCUUCUCCUGCUGCUCCAGGGAGAGAUCGUCGAUCUCCUGGCCAAAGAAGGAGCUGCCGCCCGCCCCAUCCAAGAGAGGCCGAUGCGAUUCAACCGGGGCGAUCGCCGCGGACAAGAUCAUCCCCAAGAGGCAAGCCACGAGCAGGAGCUUGGAGAUUCCAGCUGGAGAAGCCAUCAAAUCGUCGUGCUCUCCCUGCCAGGCGCACAAGAAAGACGAAGAUUAGGUCAACUUGAUCCAAGCCCUACCUGGUGUCCGGUCGAGAGGAAGAAGAAAAGGACAAAGAAGGGAGGGGAAGAACACGAGGAAAGAAUGUAGGAUCCACACAAGAACAGCGAGAUUGUCACAAACCUGCGCGCCUUCGAGCCGCGCGCCUGGAUUAUGGCGCGGCGGUGGAUUGAGCUCCCGCGAGGAAGAUGAAGAUCGAGAAGAUCAAAAGAAUGGAUCGAUCGAAAGAAUCGAGAAGAGAGCUGGAGGAAGCCCUAGAGCAAAUCUCUUGUUCUCUUUUUUCCCCCUCUUUUUUGUCGCUGAGGGCGCAAGCGAGAAACCUGAGAGGCGAAGUGUGGCCAAACAAAACAAACCAGAAGACAAAACGAGAAAAGAGCAGUUGCCAACGGCAGUUGCCAUGCGCAAGUGAGAGCGCAUCGCGGCCGUCGGGGUGCUGCCAUCCACGGCCG